rnacentral:lncRNA from 1 species
GGUGGCAACUCGCACAAGACCCCUAGACCCUCGUAGUAUAAAUACCUCGAACGAAACCCGAGGAAAGAGCAUAGAUUCGCAGCCAAGAAAUGAUGCUGUAUAAAAUAAUGAUUCUUCAUCUCCUCGCGAUGUUGUUUAUCGCCAGUCACCCAGUCACCCAGUCCUUAUUGGAUCCUCGAUAGGACACGAGACAGACAACUAUUGUGGAAAACACAAGGCAAGAUUUCUACGCCGGUGUACGAGCAUUGGUAUGAUGUUACUCUUCACUGAAGACCUGAUUGUCACUGCAGUACACAUGGAUAGAGUUUCACAUCCUGAUGAGAAAUAGAUGUAUAUGUUUUCCAUCUUUUACCAAGCAGAGUGGCAAAGAGGUAAAUAAAACAAUUUCCUCUUAACA